UCUGCUCAAACUUGAAAAGACCAAAUGCAGCUUAUUUCGGCUCACUUUCCAUUAGGUCACCAUGCUAUGACCUCAUUGUACUGCCUGAAAUCAUAUCUUAAUAACACCUGUGCUUCUAUGAAACCAAUGAAAGCAUUUGUAUGUCCCAGGUGUGAAGACUUAAUUGCAAACAGUGCAGACCAAUGUAACAGGGAGCAAUGUCAAGAAGCAACUGCAAAACCAUACGAAUUUUUGAUUUUUAAUUUGAAAGAUGCUCUAGUCCGAAUGUUUAAAGACAGUGAAUUUUGUUCGAAACUUUGUGCUAGUUUUGAGAAAAGAAAUAAUGCUGAUGUGUCUGAUAUAACAAGCGGCAGAAGAUACAGGAAUAUGACUACUGGACUAUUAUAAAAAAGGAAUAUCACACUGACUUUGAACACGGAUGGUGUAUCUCUUUUUAGAACUUCACGAACUGGGUCUGUUUGGCCUGUGUAUCUUACAAUUGAUGAGCGUCCUCCUGAAUGCAGAUUUUCACUCAAGUAUGCAUUGUCUGUGCUCUUUGGUUUCAUCCAUUGAAACUGCCUAUACAAGCAUUUCUACAACCUCUGAUGAGUCAGCUAAAGGAACUGUCCACAAAUGGAGAAACUUUCAAGACAGCUGAAAGAUUGCAGGACUGCAAAGUUAA